GCCUUCGUGGUGUAGUAGUCAGCACGUUCGGCGCGUAACUUAGAGGUCUGUGGUUCGAUUCCCGGCGAGAGCA
rfam:Stegodyphus mimosarum contig2841, whole genome shotgun sequence.